rnacentral:rRNA from 1 species
AUACGGAGGGUGCAAGCGUUAUUCGGAAUCACUGGGCGUAAAGGACGCGUAGGCGGGUUGGCAAGUCAGAUGUUAAAUCCUACAGCUUAACUGUAGAACUGCAUUUGAAACUGCUAACCUAGAGUAUGGGAGGGGGAGAUGGAAUUAGUGGUGUAGGGGUAAAAUCCGUAGAUAUCACUAGGAAUACCGAAAGCGAAGGCGAUCUCCUGGAACAUAACUGACGCUAAGGCGUGAAAGCGUGGGGAGCAAACAGGAUUAGAAACCCUAGUAGUCC